CCCCGGCCCGAUCCCCACCCCGAGGUCCAGGACUCCCCAUUGUCGCCUGACCCUGAUGACAGUGUGGAGGAGUAUGACUCGGAUGCCACCGUGGAGAACCUGAUACCCGGUUCUCCUGACCCGUGGGCUUUUGGACCGAGGCCGAGGCAGAGGCCUCUCAAUGACACAGCGGU
rnacentral:lncRNA from 1 species